ACGGAAGGCAGCAGUGGGGGAUAUUGCACAAUGGGGGAAACCCUGAUGCAGCGACGCCGCGUGAGUGAAGAAGUAUUUCGGUAUGUAAAGCUCUAUCAGCAGGGAAGAAAAUGACGGUACCUGACUAAGAAGCCCCGGCUAACUACGUGCCAGCAGCCGCGGUAAUACGUAGGGGGCAAGCGUUAUCCGGAUUUACUGGGUGUAAAGGGUGCGUAGACGGCUGUGUAAGUCAGAAGUGAAAUCCCAGGGCUUAACCCAGGUGCUGCUUUUGAAACUAUACGGCUAGAGUGCUGGAGGGGCAAGCGGAAUUCCUGGUGUAGCGGUGAAAUGCGUAGGUAUCAGGAGGAACACCGGUGGCGAAGGCGGCUUGCUGGACAGUAACUGACGUUGAGGCACGAAAGCGUGGGGAGCAAACAGGAUUAGAUACCCUGGUA
rnacentral:rRNA from 1 species